GGAUGUGAGGGCUAUCUGGCUGUGACAUCUGUCACCCCAUUGAUCACCAGGAUUGAUUUGGUUGAUCUGGCUGACUAGGCGGGUGUCCCCUUCCUCCUUCACCUUUCCAUGGGCAUCACUCCCAAAGCUGUGUCAAUAGAGGAGGACCAUCUUUGGUCAAGGGUAUACGACAAGCAGCUGUGUUCCCCUGCUAGAACCUGGAAACAAGCUCUCAAGGUCCAUUUGUAGGACCACAUAAGGUAAUCAAGCUUCCAAGACUCCAGACACAUCCAAAUGAGGCACUGCACGUGGCAGUCUGCCUUUCUUU
ensembl:misc_RNA 7SK 7SK RNA